AGCUCUCGUCAGUGGUGAUUGAGU
rnacentral:siRNA from 1 species